UGUAAACAUCCUACACUCAGCUAUAGCCUGUAUGGAAGGCUGGGGAGAGGGUGUUUACUUU
ensembl:miRNA